rnacentral:lncRNA from 1 species
AACCAUACCUUGGCAAUACUCAAGCACAAUGAAUUUCAGAAAUCCUAGUAACAAAAUACACAGGCAGUUGAUAUGCGUACUAUGCAAACAGCACUCCCAAAUCUGAACUUCCAAAAGUAUUACACAAUAUUCCAGGACUGUCUCCAAUUAGGGCAAGAGUUAAAUGUGGUGAAAUGCUUUGAAAAGAUCAACUACAAAUGGAUUACUAGCCUUGAACUUACUUCAUUUGGCUUCAUCCUGAUGUAGCACCAAACACCAGCUCUCUAAUGGAAUGAAGCUAUCUGUAUAUUACAUUGGUUUUGUGUUCAUUUUUGCAAGUCUAUCCUCCUAACUCAAAGCAAGUCCAAACUGUUAAUCACAUGGUGAUCUUCACAAAAUCUAGGAUCUUUGACAUUUUGGAAUGUUUUCUAUGGGCUUACAAGUGGAUUUUACAUAUUACUAUUCCAGACCUAUCCUGGGAAUUACACUUGGAGAUUCAAUUGUGGAAGUUGCAUCAAAAGCUUCAAAAUGAUCCAUUUUCCAGACAGAAAAUAUGUCAACAAAGACAAUCAGGACAGUCAAGGCCAGUCCUGGGCACGAGAAGGUAAGAUCGGAAGUUGGAUCCCGGUAAAUGCUACCAAAGGAGCAAGAAGGAACAAGGAUGAGAUGCCCAGAAGACACUGAUCCCGAGUCCCUAGAAAAUACAGGAGGAGGGAAAACAACACUGGGAAGAGGGAGUCAGUAGUAGAAUAAGAAGAAAAUGCCCAGGACACUGAGCCAGUGAUUAAUGAUCAUGAGGACCUGGAGACAUGAAGAUGAGAAAUAGAUGUUGGAAUUUUCGCUAAGGAAACAAUAAUAAAUAGUUAUGUCCAAGUGGAUUUAAUGUAACA